rnacentral:rRNA from 1 species
UGAUCUAGCUUGCUAGAUUGAUGGCGAGUGGCGAACGGGUGAGUAAUACAUCGGAGCGUGCCCUGUAGUGGGGGAUAACUAGUCGAAAGAUUAGCUAAUACCGCAUACGACCUGAGGGUGAAGGUGGGGGACCGCAAGGCCUCAUGCUAUAGGAGCGGCCGAUGUCUGAUUAGCUAGUUGGUGAGGUAAAGGCUCACCAAGGCGACGAUCAGUAGCUGGUCUGAGAGGACGAUCAGCCACACUGGGACUGAGACACGGCCCAGACUCCUACGGGAGGCAGCAGUGGGGAAUUUUGGACAAUGGGGGCAACCCUGAUCCAGCAAUGCCGCGUGUGUGAAGAAGGCCUUCGGGUUGUAAAGCACUUUUGUCCGGAAAGAAAUCGCACUUACUAAUAUUAGGUGUGGAUGACGGUACCGGAAGAAUAAGGACCGGCUAACUACGUGCCAGCAGCCGCGGUAAUACGUAGGGUCCAAGCGUUAAUCGGAAUUACUGGGCGUAAAGCGUGCGCAGGCGGUUGUGCAAGACCGAUGUGAAAUCCCCGGGCUUAACCUGGGAAUUGCAUUGGUGACUGCACGGCUAGAGUGUGUCAGAGGGGGGUAGAAUUCCACGUGUAGCAGUGAAAUGCGUAGAGAUGUGGAGGAAUACCGAUGGCGAAGGCAGCCCCCU